rnacentral:rRNA from 1 species
AUUGAACGCUGGCGGCAGGCGUAACACAUGCAAGUCGAGCGGAUGAAGGGAGCUUGCUCCUGGAUUCAGCGGCGGACGGGUGAGUAAUGCCUAGGAAUCUGCCUGGUAGUGGGGGAUAACGUCCGGAAACGGGCGCUAAUACCGCAUACGUCCUGAGGGAGAAAGUGGGGGAUCUUCGGACCUUACGCUAUCAGAUGAGCCUAGGUCGGAUUAGCUAGUUGGUGGGGUAAAGGCCUACCAAGGCGACGAUCCGUAACUGGUCUGAGAGGAUGAUCAGUCACACUGGAACUGAGACACGGUCCAGACUCCUACGGGAGGCAGCAGUGGGGAAUAUUGGACAAUGGGCGAAAGCCUGAUCCAGCCAUGCCGCGUGUGUGAAGAAGGUCUUCGGAUUGUAAAGCACUUUAAGUUGGGAGGAAGGGCAGUAAGUUAAUACCUUGCUGUUUUGACGUUACCAACAGAAUAAGCACCGGCUAACUUCGUG